rnacentral:lncRNA from 1 species
UUUCAUUCAAACAUCUCUUUGCCAAGCCUAGCCUGUGCAUGCACAAACAUAACAUAAACCCCUCAUUGGAGUCCUCAUCAAAACUCCAAUGAGGUAACAUAACAUAACAUAGGCUUGGAUUACAUAGGCAUCAUAAAAACAUUAUAUCUCAUACAAGACCAUGUGUACAGGGAAUUCAACAGACUCUAGUCAAGCACAUUAUCAACUUACAUUAC